GACGAACGCUGGCGGCGUGCUUAACACAUGCAAGUCGAACGGUAAGGCCCUUCGGGGUACACGAGUGGCGAACGGGUGAGUAACACGUGGGUAACCUGCCCUUGACUCUGGGAUAACUGCUAGAAAUGGUAGCUAAUACCGGAUACGACCCUCGGUGGCAUCACCAGGGGGUGGAAAGAAUUUCGGUCAAGGAUGGACUCGCGGCCUAUCAGCUAGUUGGUGGGGUAACGGCUCACCAAGGCGACGACGGGUAGCCGGCCUGAGAGGGUGACCGGCCACACUGGGACUGAGACACGGCCCAGACUCCUACGGGAGGCAGCAGUGGGGAAUAUUGCACAAUGGGCGCAAGCCUGAUGCAGCAACGCCGCGUGAGGGAUGACGGCCUUCGGGUUGUAAACCUCUUUUAGUAGGGAAGAAGCGAAAGUGACGGUACCUGCAGAAAAAGCACCGGCUAACUACGUGCCAGCCGCCGCCGUAA
rnacentral:rRNA from 1 species